rnacentral:rRNA from 1 species
CGGCGCGGUGAAUACGUUCCCGGGCCUUGUACACACCGCCCGUCAAGCCAUGGAAGUUGGGGGUACUCAAAGUCGCCUUUAACAAGCGCCUAAGGUAAAACCAAUGACUGGGGCU